GAGGCCAGGUGGGGAGGGAGCCUCCCAUUUCCAUAAAGUGGGCUUUAAGCCCCGACACCUGGGCAGGCCCUGAACCUGCCAGAAGAGCAGUGACCCCUGGGAACGCUUAAGGACAACUGCCUUAAGGGACCCAGACACAUAGUAUUUCCCCUGCCAGGUAUGGCUAAAAUACCCCAGAGGAUUAUUCACUUCAUUCAACACCCAAAGCCUAGAAGGUCACUGAGGCAAUGAGAAGACUGCUCUCCAGCUGUAAUGUGAGAAGACUCAUGCACCCUGCACAAACUGCUGUUGAGUGUGAGGAAGCCUGACAGGCUCUGCCACCUGGUCCUAUGUAUGUGUACAGAGAUUAUGUGCCUGGAUUCAUUUCCCACAUGUCAGAGCAGGUGUAUCCAAUAGCUGAAGAAAUGUCCUCAGAACAGUAGCUGGUAUAUUUACCAUCAUCUUGCCUUAUCAUAUUCCUGUAGAAAAAAAUAUGGAAGAGAGCCAGGGAAAGUUGGAACAGGUAUGCAGAGGAGAGAGAAGAGAAAAAUGGUUCUUAACAGGGCUGGGACUUUCUGUUCCUGCUAACUACACAUGACUGUGGGUGACCAAGUAGCGCUACUUGUCUUUGUGUGUCGUCAGGUUUCUUCACUGUUCUUCCCUGUUACCCUGUGCUUAUUCAUGCAACAUUUUGUGCCUGCAUUGUGCAGUCUUACCCAAAACACUUCCCAACAGUGCAGUGAACAUUUUCCCAGUUGUUCCUCCUUCCAGUCUUCCUCAAGAAAAUAAACCCUUGCAGGUAAGGCAAUGUCAGAGGAUGUUUUACCUUUUCUGUGUCAGCUAGAUAAAAGCCAUUUGUUUCAAACAAAAGAAAGGGGGGCAGUUGUCCAAUGGCAUUAUUAUCCAAACAGGGCCUGAGACAGAUUUGGUCAGGCCCAGCCUCUCCCUACACGGUCACACCAACAGACAGGGCUGAAAUCAAAUAGCAUCUGUACUGUACUGUACUGUCACCUGUUGCAAGAUCUAUUUUUUUUAUUCUCUAUCAGGCGGUUCAUAGCUUUCAUCUUAAAAUAACGUAAUUGAUGGACGAGGCAAAGGGACAUGUUGCAGGUAGUAACACCGGUGUAUAACAACAGUUUCCUACAGAAUUUCUCUAAGUAGGAGUUAAGAGUGAAGUAUUUCUCACUUAAGCUGAAAAACCCUCAAGAAGGUAGAUGGGUAUGGACAUGUACAAGGAGGAACAAUGACUUUACCUGGAAUCAUCCAGGGAGGCACCUGACUGGUAAAUUAGCUCAUGCAGGUUCUGCAACUGAAGUUUUUAAUCAUGGACACUGCAUAUGUAGAAGCUUAAAUAUCUGGACCCAUGGUUUUUAUCUACAAAAAUCCAUGACAAUGCAAAGUAAUGGCAUUAAACAUUUAGGAAGAAUGAAGACGCAUAGGUAAGAUAACCCAAACUGCCUUUAACUGGACUAGUGGCUGGUGGUGGAGUUUGGCAAAAUAUCAGCCUUGUAAAAUUGUCCUCAUCCAUUUGACUUCAGUUCCUUUUUUGAUGGGUAAGUAAACAAUUUGUAUUUUUAUAAUCCCCAUUGCAAAGAUGUCGAAAUAAGUUGGAUGCCUCAGUUAGGAAAUGUUCAUGAUAGUCCACAAACCUGUCGGGUAGUUUUCCUGCAGAGUUAGCAGGCAGAUAUCUGAAAAUGACUCUUUUGGGAUUUGGUUAAUUGCCCGUUGUCAAGAUAUGGAGGCAAUUACAAAGGUGGCUAGAAGAGUGAACUGGGAGCCAGGCCUGUAUGCAAAGUGGCUUGAGAGACUCAGGUGAAAGACCCUACAUAUUUGCAAAGGAUUAAAAGUACUCUGUCUUAGAGAAAGAGAAAGGCUGAACUAGCUACCUUUCAGACAGAGGAGUCUCAGGAAGACUUACCUGUUCCUGCCUACACUCUACAGAUAGAAGGCUUCCCUCAAAGGAAGAUGCAUUCACUACAACUGCCCUUGGUGAAAAUUCUUGGAAAGGCAGCUAGUCAGUGCCAGAUUUAGGCACAAGCUAAGUAAGCUACAGCUUACGGCCUCACAUUAUGAGGGGCCUCUAAAUAC